CAUGCAAGUCGAACGGUAACAUUUCUAGCUUGCUAGAAGAUGACGAGUGGCGGACGGGUGAGUAAUGCUUGGGAACUUGCCUUUGCGAGGGGGAUAACAGUUGGAAACGACUGCUAAUACCGCAUAAUGUCUACGGACCAAACGGGGCUUCGGCUCCGGCGCAAAGAGAGGCCCAAGUGAGAUUAGCUAGUUGGUAAGGUAACGGCUUACCAAGGCGACGAUCUCUAGCUGUUCUGAGAGGAAGAUCAGCCACACUGGGACUGAGACACGGCCCAGACUCCUACGGGAGGCAGCAGUGGGGAAUAUUGCACAAUGGGGGAAACCCUGAUGCAGCCAUGCCGCGUGUGUGAAGAAGGCCUUCGGGUUGUAAAGCACUUUCAGUUGUGAGGAAAAGUUAGUAGUUAAUACCUGCUAGCCGUGACGUUAACAACAGAAGAAGCACCGGCUAACUCCGUGCCAGCAGCCGCGGUAAUACGGAGGGUGCGAGCGUUAAUCGGAAUUACUGGGCGUAAAGCGCACGCAGGCGGUUUGUUAAGCUAGAUGUGAAAGCCCCGGGCUCAACCUGGGAUGGUCAUUUAGAACUGGCAGACUAGAGUCUUGGAGAGGGGAGUGGAAUUCCAGGUGUAGCGGUGAAAUGCGUAGAUAUCUGGAGGAACAUCAGUGGCGAAGGCGACUCCCUGGCCAAAGACUGACGCUCAUGUGCGAAAGUGUGGGUAGCGAACAGGAUUAGAUACCCUGGUAGUCCACACCGUAAACGCUGUCUACUAGCUGUGUGUGUCUUUAAGACGUGCGUAGCGAAGCUAACGCGCUAAGUAGACCGCCUGGGGAGUACGGCCGCAAGGUUAAAACUCAAAUGAAUUGACGGGGGCCCGCACAAGCGGUGGAGCAUGUGGUUUAAUUCGAUGCAACGCGAAGAACCUUACCUACACUUGACAUGCAGAGAACUUUCUAGAGAUAGAUUGGUGCCUUCGGGAACUCUGACACAGGUGCUGCAUGGCUGUCGUCAGCUCGUGUCUUGAAAUGUUGGGUUAAGUCCCGCAACGAGCGCAACCCUUGUC
rnacentral:rRNA from 1 species